rnacentral:lncRNA from 1 species
UGGUGGCUUGUUUUGUGGGGUGCCAGAAUGAGUGAGGUUUCUCCUUCCUCCUGCCUCUGCAGGGUUUGUUCAUGUUCCAAUUCCAACCCGAAAAAUCCUUCCAUUACAAAGGGCUAAAGCUCAGCCAGUAUUAUCAAGGCGCCCACAAAGAGAGAACAUGAACCAGCUCAUCUAUGGGAAGGAAAAUGAGAUGGGUAAGUGCCUGAAGGGCAUCCUCUGUCCCCUCACAAUGCUCUACUUGGGGGCAAUAACUGGGUCUGUGGAGCCCCAUAGUCUCCACCCCCUUGUCUGGCCCCAGCAUUUACGUUUUGUGUAGAGAUGAUUAAUAACAAUCUUUGUUGUACCUUAGUUUAUGUCUUCAUCCGCAUUAACAGUGCAGGGACAGUCCUGCCCUGCUCCUCUGAACAGCUGGGGACAAAGACGUGGAUGGAUCAAGUUUACAAAUGGACCAAGGACACUGGGCAGGAAAUUCAAGAUUCCAAAUAUUGCUCCAUACUGGAGAAUGGAUCCCUAGCCUUCAAGGACUUCGGCUCAGCGCAGUCUGGAAUCUACAAAUGCAAUGUCUCCUAUUCCAAAGAGGGCAAGCGCUACACAAAGAACUUCCAUUUCUUUGUCAGGGGUAUGGUAUGUAGGAAAGCUGCCCAAGGUGCAGAGAGUUGUGGGAGAGGGAUUGGCUGCUUUGUGAAGAACAAAUCAAGAUGCCAGAGAUAAAUGGUUGCCAUGACCAAAGGGGGGAGCAUGAUCUCCUAUAUUGGAGAGACCCAGGGAGUCUGGGUAUUGAUGCAGGUUAGGGUGUUGAGGAAAGUGCCAGUGGGAAUAACUGUGGGUCACUAAGGGUAUGUCUACACUGAGAUUAAGAAAACCCAUGGCACAGCCCCAUAGCUAAGGGGGAGCAUGAGCAGGCACUGACCCCCCUGUACAUUUGUUUGUCCUUGUAAAUAAGAUGUUCCAGUUUUUUCUUCCCCAGUUUCUUAUUCUGAGUUUCCUCAGAUGAGUGAUUGUAGUCCUAAAGCCACAAAGUAGUAGUUACAAUUCUAGUAGCCCUUGGGGGUGGGGUGUGUUAGUGACCCUGUUUCAGCUAAAUUAAGUGUGGUGACUGCAUUACGUUGGUGCCAUAAUAAAAGAUGUGCAAAGAAGUCUCUGCA